rnacentral:rRNA from 1 species
GACGAACGCUGGCGGCGUGCUUAACACAUGCAAGUCGAGCGGAGCGGCGAACGGGUGAGUAACGCGUGAGUAACUGCCCCCCUCUCUGGGAUAACAGUUGGAAACGGCUGCUAAUACCGGAUAGUGGGGGAUGACUCGCGGCCUAUCAGCUUGUUGGUGGGGUAGUGGCCGACCAAGGCGACGACGGGUAGCCGGCCUGAGAGGUCGACCGGCCAGAUAGGGCGGAGAUACUGCGCCAACUGCUACGGGGGGCAGCAGUGGGGAAUAUUGCACAAUGGGGGAAACCCUGAUGCAGGAACGCCGAGUGCGGGAUGACGGCCUUCGGGUUGGAAACCGCUUUCAGCCAUGACGCGGUAGUGGCAGAAGAAGCACCGGCUAACUACGUGCCAGCAGCCGCGGUAAUAC